GACGAACGCUGGCGGCGUGCCUAAUACAUGCAAGUUGAGCGCUGAAGGUUGGUACUUGUACCAACUGGAUGAGCAGCGAACGGGUGAGUAACGCGUGGGGAAUCUGCCUUUGAGCGGGGGACAACAGUUGGAAACGAAUGCUAAUACCGCAUAAAAACUUUAAACACAAGUUUUAAGUUUGAAAGAUGCAAUUGCAUCACUCAAAGAUGAUCCCGCGUUGUAUUAGCUAGUUGGUGAGGUAAAGGCUCACCAAGGCGAUGAUACAUAGCCGACCUGAGAGGGUGAUCGGCCACAUUAGGACUGAGACACGGCCCAAACUCCUACGGGAGGCAGCAGUAGGGAAUCUUCGGCAAUGGACGAAAGUCUGACCGAGCAACGCCGCGUGAGUGAAGAAGGUUUUCGGAUCGUAAAACUCUGUUGGUAGAGAAGAACGUUGGUGAGAGUGGAAAGCUCAUCAAGUGACGGUAACUACCCAGAAAGGGACGGCGAACUACGU
rnacentral:rRNA from 1 species